rnacentral:rRNA from 1 species
UACGUAGGGGGCGAGCGUUGUCCGGAAUUACUGGGCGUAAAGGGCGCGUAGGCGGCCUGUUAAGUCGAACGUGAAAUCCCCGGGCUCAACCCGGGAACUGCGUCCGAAACUGGCAGGCUUGAAUCCGGGAGAGGGAUGUGGAAUUCCAGGUGUAGCGGUGAAAUGCGUAGAUAUCUGGAGGAACAUCGGUGGCGAAGGCGACAUCCUGGACCGGUAUUGACGCUGAGGCGCGAAAGCCAGGGGAGCAAACGGG